AGAAAAUAAAAGCUUUGUCAUCACUCUCUGCUUCAGCUACAGGCCAGCAUAAAUGGAGGAGUCUCUGCAAAUUCGCCGAAUUAACGAAAUUCCCUCGCCGGAGGAAUUCGCCUCUCAGAUUGAACAGAAGAAUGUCCCUGCAGUCUUCAGUGGAUGCGCCAAGGAGUGGAAAGCAUUUUCGAAAUGGAAUGUGUCGAAUGGCGGCCUCGACUACUUGCAGGAAUUGGUGGGAUCGUCCAUUGUGGAAGCUAUGCUAUCCAGAUCUGCACCUGUAUUUUAUGGAGAUAUCCGAGCCCAUGAAAGGGUUCCUUUGCCGUUUUCUACCUUUAUUGGUUACUGCAAAGAUCUUCUACAAUGUGAGGAUGAUGGCGAAGACCCCAUUUCUCAAUUAAGAAAGCAUGAACCAACGGAAGUUGCUACCCACCAAGGUGAUUUUGCAACGGGAGAAGAAUCUCCAAAGCAAAUCUAUUUAGCACAGGUUUCCAUCGUAAAUACUGAAAAUGAGGAAAAGAGUCAGCUGGAAUGCCUUAGAGAUGACAUUGAAACGCCUGCAUUUCUGGAAAACAAAAUUCUGGCUUCUAUCAAUUUGUGGAUGAACAAUGCCAAGAGUAGAUCUAGUACUCACUAUGAUCCGCACCAUAAUCUUCUAUGCAUAAUUUCAGGAUGUAAACAAGUUGUUUUAUGGCCCCCUUCCGCAUGCCCCUUCUUAUAUCCGUUGCCUGUGUAUGGAGAAUCAUCAAACCACAGUGCCAUUCCAUUGGAAAACACCAAUUUUAGCCUCUAUCCAAGGGCAAAGUCAAUUGUUGAGUACUCUCGGAAGGUUACCCUUCAUGCAGGGGAUGCAUUGUUCAUUCCUGAAGGAUGGUUCCACCAAGUGGACAGUGAAGAUUUAACUAUAGCUGUCAAUUUCUGGUGGCAGUCUGACAUGAUGUCUAGCAUGCCAGAACACAUGGAUGCUUACUAUCUACGUAGAAUAUUAAAAAGAUUAACUGACAAAGAAAUGGAUCGAAUGCUCUCUAUGCCUUCAACUUCCAAGGUGAACCAUGUGAUUGGUGCAAGUGGCCAGUCUAGUAAUGAAAAUGCAGAUUUGAAUUUGAACCAUCAAGAAGUAGGUGGAGAAGAAAAGCUGGAGCCAGGGUUUUCAUUGCGGGAACUGGAACCACAUGAACUUCGAUCUCUUCAUGAGCUCAUUUCCUUAGUCCAUGAACAAAUCAACUGCCAGCCAGCAGACCAGUCUGCCUGUAGAGAGGAUGUGGUGAAGAAAUUGGAUAAAGCAAAUUUACAUAACUUAGAAGAUGAUCCAAUUGCUAAUACCGUUUGGAACCUAGAACCACAUGUCUUUCAAAUUGUCUUUCUCACCAUGGCACACAAUUUUCCAAGGACAUUGGAGGCUUUUGUAUUGCAUGCGCUCUCCCCUGUAGGAGUUGAAGUCCUUACCAGGAAAUUCGAGCAGAUGGAUCAAAGGAUUGUUCCGGAUGAGCGGAGUCAGUUUUACCAAAAGUUCUAUAGCGUGUUUGAUAACCAGUUCUCUGCCAUGGAUGCUCUCUUGAAUGGGAAAGAGUCUUUUGCAUGCCAGGCAUUCAAUAAUGUGCUGGUCCAAUAUCUGGGAGUUAACCUUGAUGGGCCAAAACCAUCGCUGCAGUAGGAAUGACUGACCGAUAAUGUUCAGACACUGUUGAUUAUUUAUAGUCUUGGGCUUGCGAAACAUGCCAAAUUGGAAAGACGAAAGAGUGCCAUCUUGGUUUCAGAUUAUACAUGAGAGGGAAAAGAAGAUGCAUAAGCACAGAAACAGAGGGAAAAGAGAUAAUCCAAAGUUUAAAAAUUGAUGAAUGAAUGAUGUAUCUUUUUGAGCCCAGCACAGAAACACAUACACCACCACCAGCAUCAACAUAGUUGCUUUUUUGCCUUCACGCUUACACCAGGUUUUACUACUGCCUCUUCUUUAAAAAUACUUUUCCUGCUUUUUUUUUACUUCAUGCUCUCUAACACUUUUCUACAUCUUUAAAUUCUUAUUUAAAUUUUAAUUUGUUUUUUUCAAUCAAUUUUAAUUUUGUUCUAUGGUGUAUUUUUGUUCAUGGAUGUUAAUGGUGAGUGAUUUCAAAAUAAUGUUAUCUCCGUCCACAACUAA